AAGAAGUCAGGCCACUACAAGUGCCAUAACUUGAGCAAACUAUGCAGCCUGUAGCUCCACCUGGGAAGGUGUAAAAAAUCUGGGAGGCCACAAACCAUGGAAGCUGUACGCAUGGCGUAGUGGACUAGCGGUUAGAGGAGACCCCUCCCUGGCAAAUCGCAGCAACAAUGGGGGCCCAAGGUGAGAUGAAGCUGUAGUCUCACUGGAAGGACUAGAGGUUAGAGGAGACCCCCCCGAAAUAAAAAACAGCAUAUUGACGC
rnacentral:lncRNA from 1 species